GUUAACCAACUGCUCUGAUUGGGUUUGAAGAGCCAGUACUUGAUGUCAUAAACCAAGUCAAAAACCCAUGCUUUGGAAGAUCCUAGGCUCUAGGAGGGGGACUAACUAUUGCUGCUGAAGUAAAUCGAUAUAGCAUCAAAUUGCCUUUUAAAUAUUUCCUUUUUUAUGCCUGUGGAUGUAGAAUCAUCGUAAGUGACAAUUGAGAGCUCAGUCCUAAGCAGGGCAUUUAUUAGUAUAAGGCUCGGGGAACGUUGCAGAACGUGGGGAGGAGAGAAUGUAAGAGCUGGAAGAUGGACAGCAGAGCCUCGAGGGGCCAUCUUUGGGUGUGAUAUUGCAACCUUGACUUCAUAGCAGCUUCUCUCACUGGCUCUGGGCCUACACAUGACUGGACCUGCCGACAGCCAGCUAUGGAUGGUGAGGUGCUUAUGGGCCAUUUCCCUUACUGCUGAACUCUUGGCUGCUGACCGAUCUGGAGGAGGAGAAGCCAUUGUCUUCAGUUGAGUAUCCACAGGAGAGCCUGCCAGUUUCCAAAGAACAGUUCCAAACCCAUGGUCAUACAGAUGAUCAUGUUUAAAUUCAAGUGGGUCACAAAACAAGAAGAUACGAGUGUUGGAAACAGAUGAAUUGAAGAGUGGGAGGAAGGUAAGAGGUGUGGGGAUAGCAAUGAGAACAGAUUUUAUACAUACAUGGAAUUGUCAUGUUUAAUGAAUAAUUAAAAUAAAGCCUCAGGGCUUCCCUGACACCCGAUGUCAGAGGCCGGACACAUGAGGAAUGGCGCUGCUCACUAACCUUUAAUCUGUCCUGCAGGAAAGCCGUGCUUCUGAAUGUGUUGCAUGGAAGCCGUCUCCAAGAUGCCAUUAAGGAUCGAGGUUGCAAGGCUCAGAACGGCAGCCGGAGGACACAGAGCCACCCAGGGCACACACCACACAGCCAAGUGAGCUCUUUGCUCUGGCUGCCUGGGCAUUCCCAGCCUACAGGUCCUGGGUUCCCAGGACCUCAGGUCCUCGAAGGAAGCAUUAGCUCUGGAAAUACAGGGACAAAGAGUGGAGCAGAGGCUGAAGGAAAGGCCAUCCAGAGACUGCCCCACCUGGGGAUUCAUCCCAUAUGCAGCCACCAAGCCUGGACACUAUUGCUGAUGCCAAGACGUGCUUUGCUGACAGGAGCCUGAUAUAGCUUCUGAGAGGCUCUGCCAGACCCUGACCAAAACAGAUGUGGAUGCUGACAGCCAACCAUCGGAUUGAGCACAGGGAUUCCAGUGGAGGAGUUAGGGGAAGGACUGAAGGAACUGAAAGUGUUUGCAACCCCACGGGAAAAACAAUAUCAACCAACCAGACCCCAUUCCUCCAGAACUUCCAGGGACUAAAGCACCAACCAAAGAAUACAGGGUGCAGGGAGUGGAACCCAUGGCUUUCAUCUGGAGCAGAGGAUGGCCUUAUCUGGCAUUGAUGGGAGGGGAGGCCCUUGGUCCUGUGAAGACUUGGUGCCCCAGUGUAGGGGAAUGUUAGGGUG
ensembl:lncRNA